GGGGAAAACGGAAGCAAUCGCUGCUAGCUUUUAGCUAGGAGAGGAAAGUCUGGACUUCAAAUAAGACCUUGAAAUAACGGUACCAGUGAAAGACUGGGGGUUGAAAAACUACGGAAAGUGCAACAGAAACUACUCCUUCACUUCGGUGAUAAGGCUGAAAAGGCCAACUUAAUAAAGUUGGCAUGCUCUAUAGUAAUGUAGACAUUUGUAAACCCUACCAGAAGCAAGUCUCUUCGAUAAAACGUGUGAAGGUCAGCACGAGAAGAAAAUACGCUUGAGGAGCAUGGCGACAUGCACCCUAGAUGAAUGAUUGCUCAACGACAGAAUCCGGCUUAAUCGUUUUCCCUUUUU
rnacentral:RNase_P_RNA from 1 species